UCUGCUCACAGAACUACUGAACCCAA
rnacentral:piRNA from 1 species